AAUUUUUGACAAUGGGGGGAACCCUGAUUCAGCCAUGCCGCGUGUGUGAAGAAGGUCUNCGGAUUNUNAAGCACUCUAAGUUGGGNGGAAGAGCUGUAGGCUAAUACCUUGCACUCUCGACGUUCUCAACAGAAUACGCCCCGGCCAACUUCGCGCCAGCAGCCGCGGUAAUACGAAGGGUGCAAGCGUUAAUCGGAAUUACCGGGCGUAAAGCGCGCGUAGGUGGGUCGUUAAGUGGGAUAGGAAAGCCCCGGGCGCAAACUGGGAGGUGCAUCCAAGACUGGCGAGAUAGAGUACGGUAGAGGGUGGUGGAAUUUCCUGUGUAGCGGUGAAAUGCGUGGAUAUAGGAAGGAACACCAGUGGCGAAGGCGACCACCUGGGCUGAGACUGACACUGAGGUGCGAAAGCGUGGGGAGCAAACAGG
rnacentral:rRNA from 1 species